rnacentral:rRNA from 1 species
ACGCUCGACACCUACGGGAGGCAGCAGUAGGGAAUCUUCCACAAUGGACGCAAGUCUGAUGGAGCAACGCCGCGUGAGUGAAGAAGGUUUUCGGAUCGUAAAGCUCUGUUGUUGGUGAAGAAGGAUAGAGGUAGUAACUGGCCUUUAUUUGACGGUAAUCAACCAGAAAGUCACGGCUAACUACGUGACAGCAGCCGCGGUAAUCUGAGCGGGCUGGCAAGGC